AUUGAACGCUGGCGGCAGGCCUAACACAUGCAAGUCGAACGGUAACAGGAAGCAGCUUGCUGCUUUGCUGACGAGUGGCGGACGGGUGAGUAAUGUCUGGGAAACUGCCCGAUGGAGGGGGAUAACUACUGGAAACGGUAGCUAAUACCGCAUAACGUCGCAAGACCAAAGAGGGGGACCUUAGGGCCUCUUGCCAUCGGAUGUGCCUAGAUGGGAUUAGCUAGUAGGUGGGGUAACGGCUCACCUAGGCGACGAUCCCUAGCUGGUCUGAGAGGAUGACCAGCCACACUGGAACUGAGACACGGUCCAGACUCCUACGGGAGGCAGCAGUGGGGAAUAUUGCACAAUGGGCGCAAGCCUGAUGCAGCCAUGCCGCGUGUAUGAAGAAGGCCUUCGGGUUGUAAAGUACUUUCAGCGGGGAGGAAGGGAGUAAAGUUAAUACCUUUGCUCAUUGACGUUACCCGCAGAAGAAGCACCGGCUAACUCCGUG
rnacentral:rRNA from 1 species